AAAUUAACAUAUCUGAAUGACAUAAUUUUAAAUCAAGUCAUAGCAGCUAAGAAAGGAUAGCUAUAUCUCCAAAACACCUAAAACCAUUAAGCAGGAACACAAUGGAGAUUUGAGGAUUAUCUCAAACACGGGGAGAGCAGCAGUGAGUGACCCGGGUUCAAUUCCCAUCAAAGGAACCAAAAUGUUUUGUUCUUUGCAAAAUGCUCUCAUCAAUGGGCAAGAAGCGGGGUUCGAGGUUGAAGCAGGACCAUCAAUGGUGAAUGGAUGGUUGAGUACAGGUUGUAGAGUAGGAAACUGAGAUAGGAUGUAAAGGAUGUAAAGGAAUUUCUAG